GCGGGGGUUCCCGAGUGGCCUAAGGGGUUAGGUUCAGGCCCUAAUGGACUAGUCCUGCGUGGGUUCGAUCCCCACCCCCCGCACCA
rnacentral:tRNA from 1 species